GCCAGCAGCCGCGGUAAUUCCAGCUCCAAUAGCGUAUAUUAAAGUUGUUGCAGUUAAAAAGCUCGUAGUUGAAUUUCAGGCCCUGGCCGUUCGGUCCGCCUCACGGCGUGUACUGUAUCGGUUGGGCCUUCCUCUCUUGGUGAGCCCCGCAUGCCGUUUAUUCGGUGUGCGGGUGUCUGGCCAGGACUUUUACUUUGAAAAAAUUAGAGUGUUCAAAGCAGGCCUAUGCCCGAAUAUAUUAGCAUGGAAUAAUAGAAUAGGACGUCGCGGUCCUAUUUUGUUGGUUUCUAGGAUCGCCGUAAUGAUUAAUAGGGAUAGUCGGGGGCAUUUGUAUUCACAUGCUAGAGGUGAAAUUCUUGGAUUUUGUGAAGACAAACUACUGCGAAAGCAUUUGCCAAGGAUGUUUUCAUUAAUCAAGAACGAAGGUUAGGGGAUCGAAAACGAUUAGAUACCGUUGUAGUCUUAACAGUAAACUAUGCCGACUAGGGAUCGGGCGAUGUUAUUUUUUCUUGACUCGCUCGGCACCUUGCGAGAAAUCAAAGUUUUUGGGUUCUG
rnacentral:rRNA from 1 species